UACGUAGGGUGCAAGCGUUGUCCGGAAUUAUUGGGCGUAAAGAGCUCGUAGGCGGUCUGUCGCGUCGGCUGUGAAAACUCGGGGCUCAACCCCGAGCCUGCAGUCGAUACGGGCAGACUAGAGUGCGGUAGGGGAGACUGGAAUUCCUGGUGUAGCGGUGAAAUGCGCAGAUAUCAGGAGGAACACCAAUGGCGAAGGCAGCACUCUGGGACGUGACUGACGCUGAGACGCGAAAGCGUGGGGAUCAAACAGG
rnacentral:rRNA from 1 species